AGAAGAUUCGAUGUUUCACGUCGAACAAGAAAUGCAAGUUCGGAACAUAACAUAUCAAUUGAAUGUGAAUGCGCAGGUAGCUGCACGAGAACAGCGCCGGGUAAGUUUGGCUAGACUUCGUUCAAGCCAAACAGAAGAAGAGAGGACUUCAAAUAAUGAACUGCCAUGUUUACAUUGAGAAUUCGCCGAUUUUAUCAGUCGCCUAAGAUUCAACGUGCAGAAGAAAGGCUUCUAGCAGUGUGUAUUUAACGUAUUCAACCCAACAGUUAAGGAAUUAUGAGGUAUUACUAUCAGUAUUCUUGAAUCGAAUUUAUUUUGCCCUCGAAUCUACAUAUCGAAGGGCAAAUUCACAAUUGCAUUGGCUAUUUGCUACCGUUAGAAGACGCUCAAAAUAAAUUCCUGCAAAUCUACUUCGUGGGAAAUAUUGAAAAAGGACUUGAUCGGCGACAAAGAGUGAAUAAUACAAUGAGAAGAGUAUUUCUCGGUGAUCUGCAAGAGCAAAUUGAUGAACAUAAUGCAUUGGGCGGAUAGGCGACCUGCUGAAACUCAUGAACGGCAAUUUAAUGCUCCAACGAUAGAUGAGGUGGCAGUUGUUAUUGUAGGUUAAAAUCGUGAAUCACGCGAUGUUGCGCUCACACACCGGUAUACUGGACGAUUGCAACGAAUAUCAGAAACACACCGUUCAUACGGCGCAUUACAAUACCAACUGAUAUUUUGAAUAAAUCCAUUGACAGGUGAGAAAACCAAUAAAAAAGUCAACGCAAAGAACUCUUAUACGUAUCGGUUGAUGAUUCGACAAAAUGAGGAAAAUUAUAUACUACGCUUUCGACGUCUAUUUCAGCAAUUUUGUGUGGAUACGCAUGCAAAAAUCGAGUCGGAGCGUCUUCUUUUUAUCUGAUUAAACCAAUCGAAGCUACGUACCGAGGAGUACAUUCCUUCAAGGGAUGCAAUUUCUAACGAAACAAACCUCUUUUCGUUGGCAGCCCACGUCACAUGAAUACGCGCUAGAUGCGAUGACAUAUGUACGUUACUACGGCCACCCUGAUGAUGGUAAAACCGUAACAGUGAAAUUAAAAGGAAAAGAAUUUGUUGUCAACAACUCAUGGGUAGUUCCAUAUUCACCACCUCUUUCGAAAGCAUUUAAGGCUCAUUUUGAGUACGGCAAUUCAGUAAAAUCCAUUAAGUAUAUAUGCAAAUAUAUCACAUAGUGAAAUUACGCGGCAUCAAGUUGGUCGAUAUAUACAUUGCAAUGAAGCGAUUUGACGUAUAUUCUCAACCCCUAUUCCGACCGUUACACAUUUCGUAGUGUAUCUUGAAGACGGCCAACGUGUUUAUUUCACUGCAGAAAAUGGUAUUCAACGUGCACAAGCCUCAGCGACAACGUUAACCAGUUUUUUUUUCUCAAUUUUCUUAAAAUGAUUAUUUCGCAGGAACAUUACUUUACACAGAAAUGCCACAUUACACAUGGAAUGCUUCAUCGAAGCAAUUUCAACGACGACAGCAAGAUGAAGUCCUAGGUUAUUUUUUUUCUUUAUGCUCCCGGUGGCACUAAUAAGACAUUUUUUUAUAUGCUUGAUUUUGGCUACAAUGCAGACAAUCACGUGCUGUAGCUGUUGCUUCGUCGGGAACAGCGGCUACGUUGCUGGAUGGUUGCCGGGUUGCCCAUUCGGCGUUGAAGCUAACAUUAAACCUUCAAACAGUAGAAGAGCCAACAUGCAACAUAUCACUGCACUCAGUAAUGGCGAAACAUUUAAAUGCAAGCUAAAUUAUUAUCUGGGACGAAUGCAUAACGUCGUAUAAAAUAGCUUUAAAAACAAUAAAUCGGAUAACGAAAGGUAUGCGUAAUAACACGAGCCAUUUUCGUAUAUCUGAUUCUACUGUCCGCUAUUUUCGCCAAACGCUGCCUGUAAUACCACGAUCCACAGCUACCGGCGUAAUCAAUGCUUGCCUGAAAUCGUCGACGAUUUUCGCCAAACACAAGGUUUUACUGAACGUUGCAUAUAAUCACAAUAAUUAUAAUUGUUUAAGUGAGAGGGGAAUUUUAGAUGCGAAAAACAUGGACAAUUUGAAUUACAUAAUGGAAAACAAAAUCAUUGGUUUACUGCAGUCCUUCAAAUCUUUAGAUAGUGUUGUAAACGAGUUGCAUCGUCAACUAACAACUCUGUAUAAUUUUGGACUUGUUUUUUAUUUUGAGUGGAAACAAAAACAAAACUGAGAUGUACUCGGCUAAAUGACGCAACAUUGGAAACGAAACAGUACAAAACUCAUUGAAAACAUUUGCAAACGCUUUCCUGUAUAUCAACUUAUUACAAAUACAGUAAGAACUAAUUUGAAAUAAAAUGCAUGCCUUUUUAUUCAUCUAUUACUCCCAGCAUACAUUGGAAAAGUGCAAAACAAUACAUAGAAUGGUAA
rnacentral:sRNA from 1 species